AUUUUAACAUUAUGCCAACCCACCAUAUAUAUUGGGGUAAGGGCAACUUGAUUUCAUUUUCAAAACAUUAAAAUUACAACAUCCUGAGCACUAUUACAUAGAUGAAUCUAACAAAACAAUUAACCUAUCUCAGGGCACAGAAUGAACAUAACCUAAAAAAACACUAGUACCUUUUAUUUUACACUAUCAAGUUACUCGCAUCGCGAAUACUAUGCAAGCUGAUGAAAGACUGCAACUUAUACGAAGCAACUGAUUCCAAUACCCAUGUAUGACCAAUGACCUGGGAUCCAAUUUUAGCAGCUAAAUUCUCUGCUUCAUUUAGUCUCUGCCAAAGAAUUGUAACUUCCUCUCCUAACUUGCAUCCCUGUGGAGGAUCAAGGUUAUAGACGACUAAAGUUUUUGAAGGAGCUUCUGGGUCAUUAAUUUGUUUCACUAAUUCUUCCUCUCUCCCCAAAAUAGUACCUCCUGCAGCUUUGACCAAAUUCUGAAGAUCUUCCUUGUAACCCAACACAAAGUCACCAGAAAAAUAGAAUUUCAAGCCAUUGAAGAGUUUUGGUGCCUUGUCCAACACACUGAGCCUGCCAGUUCUGGGGCCAUUGUAGCACCCAUGGUUGUCGAGACUAACUUCAUAAGGUUCUUCAUCAACAGGACGCAAAGAUUUCAUGCAUUCCUUAACCCAGUCAAUUGUAAGAACCCAUCUCCCAUUCAAAAUUGCCAUGAGAACUUUCAAUGUCCUGGUGCAUGCACCCUUUGUAUCUGUGGCUGCAAUGACAUGUGUGACAUUUGGUUUCCAGAAUUUGGUUACAGACACGCCAAUCAUGCUCCCAAACUCAACCAAAAGACACUUCUCCUCAGAAGACAGAGCAGAUCCACAAAAAACCCACCCUUUUGCUCCGUUAAACGAUUCUGACAAAAAAUUAGACUGUUUUGGAGCUCUGCAUGAAGAACAACACACAUGUCAAACUACAUAUUAAGAUGCAGUGACCUACUUAAUUUACAACAUAAAAGGAGUAGAAACACAUUCCAACCAAUCUUUUUUUUUGCAUGAGCACAAAAAAAUUACCCCUCUGAUGAAUGGCUCAAAAACAAAUUAUGUUAGAAUGAGCCCAAGAUAAUCCAUAUUUGAUAUAAAAGGAAGACAAAGGAGAGGAUGAGGGGUGGGGGUCCCGUGGCGCAGGGGCAGGGGCACAGGGCAUGAGAAGUUAAUAAGAUUGACUCAAUUCAAUUUUUUUCAGUUUGCUGGAAACCACAAGAACUAACAGAAAGAGGAUGUACAUUUGAGUUGUCACGUUACAAUGUUCUAUGUUGUGUUUCUUAGGCUUGGACUUCUUUUCAUUUGGAAAUCUGAUUGAAGAAUGAGAUGGACAAAGCACAAGGUAGUCAUCAAAAUCCCAUCGGCAACCAGCGACUGCCUUUGCACAAGGGACAUGGUAACUUCUCCUGCAAGAGUUUAGAUAGCAGCCUAGAGCUGCUCCCUUCAGCCCACAGCUGCUACACUUUAGUUUCGCACCCCUAGCCAACUCAGCCUUCAGAUUCUUAACAGUUUCAUCAACAAAAUAGACCAGUGGUGCCCAUUCAAUACAUGCCCUAUGAACAUGUAUGGCGGUGGAUAGAAAUGCCUCAUCACCCUCUACUGACUUCCCAUUGACAUAGUGCAACAUUGGACCAGUGUCCUUGGAGAUUCUAGAGGACUGGCAAAAUCCACAAACAGCUUUUCCUGCGGAUGAGUCAUCUAACGCUGUAAGAGGCUGUGCACCAUUAACAGGUAGCUCAGAUUUAUCUUCUGAUUGAGAGUAAUGAGUCCCCAAAUUACCAGCUUGAGAACUAACUGGCAUACUAUCCAUAUUAUUUGUGCAUGCAUUCAGUGGACCAUAGCUCAACUUCUUAUGUCUCUUCGAGUCCCUUGCAUCAACUCCAUCAUUUCUAGAGACAAAACAGUCAUAUCUCUCUUGUCUCAUGCUAUCAUCAAGAUUUCUCUUGAACAAUCUAUUUGCUUGAUAAUUUUUUGGACUAAUAUCACCACCCUGAUCAUAACUUUCAUUUUCUGAACUCCUAAUAUCACCAAAUGAAGGAGGGCUACCAGCUGACAAUUGAUCCACUUGAUUUGUUCCUAUUACCAUAGUCAUACACUCUUGGAUUCCUCCAACUCUUAUAUGAGAACUUGCUGGUGGAGAAUUGAUAUUCUGCUCUCCAUCACCUUCAUUUCCUCCACUGCCAACUAUAUCAUAUUCUUUAUCUUUAAGGUGCCUUGUCACAUUGCAUUUGUCUGCCAUGUCAAUCUUUUGAACCCCAUUUUCAACAGAACAAUUCAAUGGAACCUGAGCUAACUUAUUGCCUCCCAGUAUAAACAUGGAACCCCCACUGCUUGAAUUAUCCUCCCUAGCAGCUUUAAAUGAUUCCUUACUUGACUUAUCAUUGCAAUCUGCACCUGUUGAAGUUGGACAUUGCUCCAAAAUUCUCCCAGUACCAGAAGAGCUGGACUGGAACAGAUUGGCACAGAAAGCAGCAUCCAAACUUCUAUAGAUUGUUACCAAGUUUUCAAUGAAAGACAAGGCCCUCAGAUCCCGAUCAAGAUAUUGAGCUUUACAAACAGGGCACUCUGGGCCAAACUGCGUCGUUUCGGGUAGGCAUGCGUUGCAGAAAAUAUGAUCACAAGGAAGCAAAAUUGGUCGUUUUAGGAAGUUUAAGCAAAGAGGGCAUUUGAGCUCAAGACCCAAUUUCUGUAGAUGGAGAAACCAUGGGUUCAUAGACCUAACAUUAUUCUGUUUAGUCGAAUCCGCCAUUUCCACUGCAGAUACGAAGCUUUGAACGCCAAAAUCCAAAGCAAGUGAUUUUGACGUUUGAAAUGUGUUUCCUGAGAGUGGG
rnacentral:misc_RNA from 1 species